rnacentral:piRNA from 1 species
CUGGGUCCUUAAAGAGAAUCGAUGA